UACGUAGGGGGCAAGCGUUGUCCGGAAUCAUUGGGCGUAAAGAGCGUGUAGGCGGCUCGAUAAGUCUGCUGUGAAAGUCCAGGGCUCAACCCUGGAAGGCCGGUGGAAACUGUCGGGCUAGAGUCCGGGAAGAGGCGAGUGGAAUUCCCGGUGUAGCGGUGAAAUGCGCAGAUAUCGGGGAGGAACACCAAUGGCGAAGGCAGCUCGCUGGGGACGGUACUGACGCUGAGACGCGAAAACGUGGGGGAGCAAACAGGGAUUAGAAAACCCCGAG
rnacentral:rRNA from 1 species